rnacentral:tRNA from 1 species
CGGGAUGUAGCUCAGUUGGCAGAGCGCACGGUUCGGGACCGUGAGGCCGGAGGUUCGAGUCCUCUCAUCCCGA